UACGUAGGGUGCGAGCGUUGUUCGGAAUUACUGGGCGUAAAGGGCUCGUAGGCGGCCAACUAAGUCAGACGUGAAAUCCCUCGGCUUAACCGGGGAACUGCGUCUGAUACUGGAUGGCUUGAGUUCGGGAGAGGGAUGCGGAAUUCCAGGUGUAGCGGUGAAAUGCGUAGAUAUCUGGAGGAACACCGGUGGCGAAGGCGGCAUCCUGGACCGACACUGACGCUGAGGAGCGAAAGCCAGGGGAGCAAACGGG
rnacentral:rRNA from 1 species